CAGUUCUGUCGUCAGGGCAUCCACUUUGGCUCCAGAGGUCUGUGCUGAUUUCUCCCAUGGGAAAACUCCUUUCCAGGUGCCCCCAAAUUUUCCAGAAUUCUUCUUUCUGGCCCAGAUGCUGCUGCAGUGUCCCUCCAGUUCAGCUGCUCUGACAUGUAAUCUGUAAAACUGAACAGCUUCAGUGAGAUGCACAUCUGCAGGGAUGCUUCCAGGUGUGCUGUGACAUUUCACCCUGGACAGGUUGCAAGUUCCCCUGUUUUUGUAGCUCUGUAAAAUCGUGUUUAACUCUGGACUGAUAAAACCACCUGUGGGAAAGCAUCAGCUUCAUCUGGAGGCCAAAGCACAGAGCUGGGGCCAGUUCCAUCCAGAGCCAACCUGACGGGUUCCAGCUGCCACCAGCACUCCCGAGCAUCCUCUUCUUGAUCUUCUGGGUCCCCUUCCAGUCUGAGGUGGUCAAAGUGCGUGCUGGUUCACAAGGGGUGAAUUCAGGGAUUUCUGGGCACGGGGCUUGAGAGGACCUUGGUGAAGCUGCAGUUCAGGCCCCCAGAAUGGGGAGCACAAUCAGAUGGGAUCAGAUAUCAGGUCAGGUAUGCCCCUGGUGUGAAUCCCAGUGUGCCCAACCAUGCCCAGAGAUCCCAGGCAGCAUCCAGCUCUGGGGACAGGGAAAGGGGGAAUUGGGUAGGGGUGACUCCAGCAGAGGCAGGGGAUGGCCUGGCAGAGAUGUGGCUGUCACAGGGCAGGGGCAGCAGCUCUGGGAGAGAAGAGAGCAGAGAAAAGAAGAGAGAAGAGAAAAGAAAAGAAGAGAGAAGAGAUAAGAGAGAGGAGCGUCCUGCAGCCCCCGCCCGGACCCAGACCCAGAGCAGCCCCUCUCGUGCCCUGGGGCUCCCAGAGCUCCCCAGGCCAGCCCAGCUCUCAGCACUGUCCCCGUGCAGGCCCAGCAGUGACUCAGCUGUGCCACACAGGGCCUGCUCAGCAAGGACACCUUGUUCUCUAAGUACACCACUUUUUCUUUUUUUCUUUAAUAUCUUCUAAUUAUGUUCUCAUUGGUAUUGAUCCUGUGCUCUUUCGGGAGCCAGAUUCAUCCUUUGCUCUUAAGAAGCAGAACAGCAAACACUUGGAGCCCGAGCUGCUCCCCAGCCGUGGCUGCUGGGCUCGUUUGCUGCCUGACAGCUGGCUUGGGACUCUUGAUUGCAUUUUUGGGGAUGGCAUUUUGCAGUGUGUCAGAAUCUCACGUCUGUCUCUUUUCCCUGCAAACCACUUGUGGACAGUUGGCCUAACAAAAGAUUUAUGUUUUAAAAAAAAAUAUUUUUUUUUUUUAGUUGUGAGAUUCUGUUGCCAAUUCUCCUGUCAUUCUCCUGUCCUAUUUACUGCUUGGACUUGAAAAGCAUAACGAUUUUUGAAGGCUUUGUUUUUAAACUCUGCUCUUGCUUUUCCUUUGUGGCUGCUUUGACAGCCUCCUCUGAUGUAUAUUUCAGUAUAGGUUGAUGUGAAGCUAAUGAGAAGGCAGAUGUUUAUUUACAGAAAUAUGGGUUCCAUUUGUAAAAUUAUUUCCUGGUAGGGAGAACAUUGCUUUCCAAUUACCUUACAUUCUAGGAGAGCUUUUUUAUAAAUUUCUUUACAGCUUGGUUUUUAAACUGUAUAUUGCUACAGGCAUAUAAAACUGCCAGUAAACCCCAACACCAAGACUUUAGCAAUCAUUCUAAAACACAAAAACAUUCUAAAGUUAUUUUAAGUCAAGAAAUGGAUUUACACAUCAUAAAAAAGUGUAUAAAAUCACCACCAAUUUACAACUCUGACUAAUAAGUACUAAAUAGAAAAAGAUUAAGUUCAUA